rnacentral:rRNA from 1 species
UAGGGAAUCUUCCACAAUGGACGCAAGUCUGAUGGAGCAACGCCGCGUGAGUGAAGAAGGGUUUCGGCUCGUAAAGCUCAGUUGUUAAAGAGAACGUGGGUAAGAGUAACUGUUUACCCAGUGACGGUAUUUAACUAGAAAGCCACGGCUAACUACGUGUCAG